ACUGGGUCCUUUUAAAAAGGUCGUCAAUUAGACCUUAUUGAAUUGUCAGCAUUCAUAGCAGUGAAGGGAAUCUGGUAGCUGGCGUAGCCAUGUCACAGAUGGCUAAAUACCCUGUAGUCUGAAGGGAAAAAUGAAUUAAAUAUAGGUUCAAGUUACAGAAUGUGGUUUGAAAAUGUGGGAGCCAGGCUUUUUGCAGAGGAAACCACUGUUCACAGUUGAUUGAAGAUGACUCUAAAGACCUCUUUUAUGGCACCCUUUGGGAAGAGCUAUGAAUAAGUGACCCUUUCUCAUCUAAUUCCCAAGGUUCACCUUGAAAUAGGUCUCUAGAUGGUGCAGAUCUCCUGCCUUCUUAAGAACAACUCAAGGCCACCUUGCUGCUGUUUGUUUUCCUUUGUUAUAGAUUCAGGACCACUGCUUUCUGAAGUAAAUUAAUUGCUGAAAGGCUGCCAUGUGACAUGCCGUGUGCCUUCCACCCUUUUUACCCUGUAUGGAUGUUACCAAGCAGUGCUAAUGUUUGUCACCAGCUCCCUGGAUUGUGGUUCCUGGGGUGCGCAAGCCCUGCUGGAGGAGAGCUGCUUCCAGUGGGAGACAUCCACAGAGAGGACAGGCAUGGGGAUGCCAAAAGCAGUGCACCUCACAAAGAGCACAAAGACCUGCUUCUGGGCAGACAGCGUGAAAUCCUUUGUGACCAGCUCCCAUCCUGUCUUUGUCAGGCAGGUGUGACCGUGGCUGCAGCCUUCAAGCAGUGGGACUGCUUCUCCUUCCAAACCCCUGCUGCAGGUGCCUGGUGUCUCCACGUCUCCCCGGUGCUUGGGCACGUAGGAGAGGCUGUGAGCAUCCCUGGCACCAUCCCACAUUGUCCUGGAUAGUUUCAGGAAGCAAUUUGCCGUCCUAAGGAUGGAAACUUGCUCUUCGUAACAGUUUUAUUGUUUGGCCCUGUGUAUUUAAAUGUUACUCGGCAGCUGUUUCCCACCCACUUUUUUUAUCUGUCAUCUUCCUACAAAUGUUUGCUGAUGUUGGAAUAAAUAUGCAAAGAUUU